rnacentral:lncRNA from 1 species
ACGUUGCUGCAACUUCCACUUGUAAGUCAGAGAUCUUCGAUUUUGAAAACUGCAAGCAAAUUGUGAUGACCCCGACACAAGCCUGGUUAGGUUCAUGCAGUUUAACUGAAAAUUUGCACGGGUGGUGGAUGCUUCAUACUUUUAAAACAUUUCGUGGCGUGCUAAACAACACCAAGCAGAGAUGUUUCCUGGCAAAGAAAUUUUGCGGAGUGCUGUGCUUGUCGCCAUCGGCGGGAUAGUUGCAUUGUUGGUUUCAAAAUUGUUAGAAGGUGACGAAGAAGCAGCAGCUCAGAGAGACAUGAGAGAGAUCAGAGGAGAAGAUGAGUUGAACGAAACUGAGAAGCAGCCACAAGAAAAUGACGAGAGGUUGCGCUGAGAAGGAAUAUACGGCACAAGAGAGACAUUAUGACAGCCGACAUUUUAGUACUUUAACUAUUAGACGUCAGAUUUAUACAUGUACCUGAAUUACCAUAAUUCCUAGCUUGGAACACUGAAGUAUGUUAGUAGUUGUCGACGCGAACAGUUUUAAAGUAGAGAAUUGUAAACGUCUUAUCUAACUGUUUUCUUUGUACGUAGUUUUGUAAGAUGCCUGUUUGCUGCAUAGUACGAACAGUGAGCACCGCGAACUUGGCUUUGUAUAAAAUGAUACUGCCUUGUUACAUAACCGAUCACUGUGGUGAUGAAAUGUUAUUCAUGUCAAAGAACUGUUGUGUUUUCCUGCCGUGACCUUAUGUUCAUGGCUCAUUCGAACUUGUUCAUGAUCAGUAAACAGUAAGUAGUUUGCAGUGAAAUAUGUUUUCAUGUAGCAUUUCAUUCCAAGAUGUACACCAAGAUACCGAUUCAAGUAACUUGGUAUUCUAACUCCCCUAUGGCCGCCGUCCGUAGACUAAAAUUAUAUACCGACCAGCUCUGAUCACUCCUCGUAUCAUUACCGACUAGGAGAUAACGUACAAGCUGGGAAAAUUCCCUUCACCAGCGCCAGCUGUACCGGGAUUGUAGAAGCUCGAGUGUUGACUAAACCUGUCGAAAUUGACCAAUCAGAAUAUGCCAGAUCCUGGUAUACCGGAACGACCUUUUGUUAAGUUUGCCUAACAGAAAAUGACGUCUCUUGAUUUGCCCACAGGCGUUCUUUCGCUUUCUCUAACCGCGCUUCUCUCCUAAUUUUUCGCUAGCCGUUUUUCGCGCUGCGCCACAACUAACUGAACGCCGACCUGGAAGAGGCUAG